rnacentral:lncRNA from 1 species
GUUGUGAACACUGCUGCAGUCUAUCCUGGCUGCCCUGGGGCAAGAGGCGGGUCACCUGUCUGUCACAGCACUAACUCAGAGAGAAAGACAACCAUUCCCACCUAUGACCAGCUACGAAUGGCCAAUUAACCUAACAUCCAUGUAGUUGGACUGUGGGCGGGUGAACACAGGGAGAAGCUGUCGGCCUAAACAAGAGCAGAUGGAGAAAGAAUACCAGGAGCUCGCCUCUGAAUUCGCCGUGCUGCAGGAGGACUCAAAAAUCCAGACUGGUCACCUGAAACGUGUGCUGACUGCAAAAGAAAAGAGGGUGACUGAGUUGUUGAAACAGCAGAAGAAUGAGCAUCAGGAAGCCGAACGCUACAGAGACAACCUGAUGCUGCAGCACAGCAAGGAGAUGCAGGAGAUGCAGGAGCGGAUUGAAAAGCUUAAGUCAGAGAACAAGAUAGAGGCGGAAAAGUUGGAGCAGCAGAAGAAGGACCUGAUUUCAGUGAAGUGGCGUCUGUCUGCCAUGGAGUCUCUGUGGAAGCAGCUGGAAAAACAGAAGCAAGAGCAUGAAAUUGCCACCGAAACAGUGAAGGUGGCAGCGCAGAUGGAGAUGGACAGGAAAGUUGAGAGACUGCAGAGCAUCGUGGAGCCUACUGUAAAGCUGAAGACUAAAGAAAUACUUACGAAAAACAGGGCUGAGCACGAGGAGCGGCUGGAGCAGCUCCACUUUUUCAAGAGUGAGCUGGUGCCCCUGCAGGAGGACGUAGACGCCAUGCAAGCCAGACAGAGGGAUCUUUGUUCUGAACAAGAUGAUCUGGAGAAAGAUUUCAUUAAGAUUAUUCAGCAGAAAUCCAUCCUCAAGAAGAACGUAGAUGAGCUAACUGAGCAGUGCCAGCAGUUGACAACAGAGCUGAAGGACUGUACAUUGGCUAAGCUGCGCACACUGGCUAAAAUCAAGGCUCUCGGGUAGAAGACAAAUCUCUUUUUAAAUGUCCACAGAACAGGAUCAGACACAUAUUUAUUUUAGUAUGACAGACGUACUUUAAAAGUAAA